UACGGGGGGUGCAAGCGUUGUUCGGAAUUACUGGGCGUAAAGGGCUCGUAGGCGGCCAACUAAGUCAGACGUGAAAUCCCCAGGCUCAACCUGGGAACUGCGUCUGAUACUGGAUGGCUUGAAUCCGGGAGAGGGAUGCAGAAUUCCAGGUGUAGCGGUGAAAUGCGUAGAUAUCUGGAGGAAUACCGGUGGCGAAGGCGGCAUCCUGGACCGGCAUUGACGCUGAGGAGCGAAAGCUAGGGGAGCAAACGGG
rnacentral:rRNA from 1 species